rnacentral:misc_RNA from 1 species
UCCCCCGUGAGGGGGCAGUCUCGCCUGACUAAUAAAACAGGCAACGAGGGUUGCGUUCGUUACCCCACUGAAGGGAACAACUCAAGCCACGAACUGACGACGACCAUGCAUCACCUGCCCAACUGUCUUGCGAGGGCCAAAGUUUCCUAAGGCUUUCAGUUGAGUUUCAAACCCUGGUGAGGUUCUUCGUUUGUCAUCGAAUUGAGCCGCAUGAUCCACCGCUUGUGCAAGUCCCCGUCUAUUCCUUUGAGUUUUAGCCUUGCGGCCGUACUACCCAGGCGCAGAACUUAACGCGUUAGCUUCGCCUCAGAGAGGGUCGAUACUCCCUAAAGCCAGUUCUGAUCGUUUAGGGCGUGGACUAC